AGUGAACGCUGGCGGUAGGCCUAACACAUGCAAGUCGAACGGCAGCACAGUAAGAGCUUGCUCUUACGGGUGGCGAGUGGCGGACGGGUGAGGAAUACAUCGGAAUCUACUUUUUCGUGGGGGAUAACGUAGGGAAACUUACGCUAAUACCGCAUACGACCUACGGGUGAAAGCAGGGGAUCUUCGGACCUUGCGCGAUUGAAUGAGCCGAUGUCGGAUUAGCUAGUUGGCGGGGUAAAGGCCCACCAAGGCGACGAUCCGUAGCUGGUCUGAGAGGAUGAUCAGCCACACUGGAACUGAGACACGGGCCAGACUCCUACGGGAGGCAGCAGUGGGGAAUAUUGGACAAUGGGCGCAAGCCUGAUCCAGCCAUACCGCGUGGGUGAAGAAGGCCUUCGGGUUGUAAAGCCCUUUUGUUGGGAAAGAAAAGCAGCAGGUUAAUACCCCGCUGUUCUGACGGUACCCAAAGAAUAAGCACCGGUUAAUUUCGG
rnacentral:rRNA from 1 species